AGAGAGAGAGAGAGAGAGAGAAAGAGAGAGAGAGCUUAAGAUAUAGAGCUUAAUUUUUGUGUAGGAGUUUCUGGUUCAUGCUUUUAAAGAAAAACUUAAACGAGUUAGACGACCUCUCGUUAAUGAUGUCACUGUCAUAGAAUAUAAAAAAAAUUAUGGGCUAACCAAUGGAGGGCGUAAAACAUUACAUGAUUAAUAGAUACACUUGUAGCUUUAAAUAUUUCAAUAAUGACUCAGAUAUUGCCUGCUAAGAGGCUCUACCACUCGAUUGUGGAAGUAUAAAUUUUUUUAUUUAAUAAAUUGAAUAAAGUAGAUUACACUAACAAUUAAUUCAUAGUUUAUAUAUUCAUAUUUGUCAUAGAGUGAAAGAGAGAGAGAGUUAUUUGAAAAAAAGGACUGUUGACUGUAGAAAUUUGUUUCAUUAAUUUUAGAAAAAAAAAUUUAUAGUGUACUCAUAUUACUCUCUUUUUUCUGAACUUUAUCCCUCAUUAAUAAUUCAAUUUCUUGAUUUGCAUGCAUGUCCAUGAAGCAUGCAUGUCCAUGAAAUAAUUAUAAACUAUUAUAAAAAUAGUUUAUAUAAAUUAAGUUUCUAAAAUCAUUUUAAAUACAAUGUUAGAUGCAUUAAUAAAUUUCACAAGUUGCAUGUUUCAGAUAAAUAUUUUAGAAAAAUUUUAUUGUUUACAAGAAGAACACGAUGUCACUGAUGAUCUUUUGGCAUUACUAUCUGAAGAGUGCAAUAAGCUGCGUCCUGAUGUCUAUUUCCUAAAAAGUCAAAUCCGUUUGAUCAUUGGCACUCUCAAGAAACAUUGCCAAAACAGCACUGUAAAGGAUGUUUUAGAUAAAUUUUCCUGUCUCAAGUUUGAGAAAGUUUUGCUAGAAGCUUCAAAUGCUUUGACUAAUACAAAUAUUGAUAGAAAUUUGUUACUUCUUUUGAACAAAAUGUGUAAAGGCUUCCAAACUUUAGUGGAAUUAAAAAUGAGUCUGAAGUCUAAAUGCAGGUCUCUUUUAAUUAAUAUCAAUGAAGAAUCAGACGAGAGUUUGAAGCAGAGGCAGUUGUUCCAUCUUGUUCAAAAAAAGAUGGAUGGUUAUUUUGGCCAACGUGUGUUAAUGCAAUAAAAGCUACCUAUAAUAAUUUUCUAAUCGUUGAUUCCUGCAACAAGGUUUGACUUAAGAGAGUUAAAGUAACUGGAGAUAAAGAAGUAUGUGCAGGAUUUAUUUUCACAACUAAAGAGUUUUCCAAAGAAGAUUAAAGUUUUGGUGGAUCAAAGUUUGAGGAAUGAUUUGGUUUUAACUGGUUUGCAUCUUAUGAAUGAAAUUCUGUAUCUCAAUGAUAUCCUGGCUUAUUUAUACGAUAUCCUGUAAAUCUUAAAAAA